rnacentral:rRNA from 1 species
GCAUAUCAAUAAGCGGAGGAAAAGAAACCAACAGGGAUUACCUCAGUAACGGCGAGUGAAGCGGUAAAAGCUCAAAUUUGAAAUCUGGCUCUUUUAGAGUCCGAAUUGUAAUUUGUAGAAGAUGCUUCGGGUGUGGUUCCGGUCUAAGUUCCUUGGAACAGGACGUCAUAGAGGGUGAGAAUCCCGUAUGUGACUGGAUACCUAUGCUCAUGUGAAGCUCUUUCGACGAGUCGAGUUGUUUGGGAAUGCAGCUCAAAAUGGGAGGUAUAUUUCUUCUAAAGCUAAAUAUUGGCCAGAGACCGAUAGCGCACAAGUAGAGUGAUCGAAAGAUGAAAAGCACUUUGGAAAGAGAGUUAAACAGUACGUGAAAUUGUUGAAAGGGAAGCGCUUGCAAUCAGACUUGCACUUGGUGUUCAUCAGGGUCUCGUACCCUGUGUACUUCAUCAAGUUCAGGCCAGCAUCAGUUUGAGUGGUUAGAUAAAGGCUUAGAGAAUGUGGCCCUCUUCGGGGGGUGUUAUAGCUCUAGGUGCAAUGUAGCCUACUUGGACUGAGGACCGCGCUUCGGCUAGGAUGCUGGCGUAAUGGUUGUAAGCGACCCGUCUUGAAACACGGACCAAGGAGUGUACCUAAUAUGCGAGUGUUUGGGUGUUAAACCCAUACGCGUAAUGAAAGUGAACGCUGGUGAGAACCCUUAAGGGUGCAUCAUCGACCGAUCUUGAUGUCUUCGGAUGGAUUUGAGUAAGAGCAUAUUGGGUGCGACCCGAAAGAUGGUGAUCUAUACGUGAAUAGGGUGAAGCCAGAGGAAACUCUGGUGGAGGCUCGCAGCGGUUCUGACGUGCAAAUCGAUCGUCAAAUUUGCGUAUAGGGGCGAAAGACUAAUCGAA